UUAUCUAUCACCCAUGACUGAUGGCUCU
ensembl:miRNA